rnacentral:rRNA from 1 species
UACAGAGGGGGCAAGCGUUAUUCGGAAUUAUUGGGCGUAAAGGGCGCGUAGGCGGCUUUUCAAGUGACGGGUGAAAUCCCUCGGCUUAACCGAGGAACUGCCUGUCAGACUGGAAGGCUUGAGACCGGGAGAGGUGAGUGGGAAUUCCCAGUGUAGCGGUGAAAUGCGUAGAUAUUGGGAGGAACACCAGUGGCGAAGGCGGCUCACUGGACCGGAACUGACGCUGAGACGCGAAGGCGUGGGGAGCGAACGGGG